UACGAAGGGGGCUAGCGUUGCUCGGAAUCACUGGGCGUAAAGCGCACGUAGACGGCUUUUUAAGUCAGGGGUGAAAUCCUGGAGCUCAACUCCAGAACUGCCUUUGAUACUGGGAAGCUUGAGUCCGGAAGAGGUGAGUGGAACUCCGAGUGUAGAGGUGAAAUUCGUAGAUAUUCGGAAGAACACCAGUGGCGAAGGCGGCUCACUGGUCCGGUACUGACGCUGAGGUGCGAAAGCGUGGGGAGCAAACAGG
rnacentral:rRNA from 1 species